GAUGAACGCUGGCGGCGUGCCUAAUACAUGCAAGUCGAGCGAACAGACGAGGAGCUUGCUCCUCUGACGUUAGCGGCGGACGGGUGAGUAACACGUGGAUAACCUACCUAUAAGACUGGGAUAACUUCGGGAAACCGGAGCUAAUACCGGAUCAUAUAUUGAACCGCAUGGAUCAAUAGUGAAAGACGGUUUUGCUGUCACUUAUAGAUGGAUCCGCGCCGCAUUAGCUAGUUGGUAAGGUAACGGCUUACCAAGGCGACGAUGCGUAGCCGACCUGAGAGGGUGAUCGGCCACACUGGAACUGAGACACGGUCCAGACUCCUACGGGAGGCAGCAGUAGGGAAUCUUCCGCAAUGGGCGAAAGCCUGACGGAGCAACGCCGCGUGAGUGAUGAAGGUCUUCGGAUCGUAAAACUCUGUUAUUAGGGAAGAACAAAUGUGUAAGUAACUAUGCACGUCUUGACGGUACCUAAUCAGAAAGCCACGGCUAACUACGUG
rnacentral:rRNA from 1 species